UGGUGGAGCGAUUUGUCUGAUUAAUUCCGAUAACGAACGAGACUCUGGCCUAUUAAAUAGUUCGCCGAUUCCGAUCUGUCGGCGUUAACUUCUUAGAGGGACAAGUGGCUUUUAGCCACGCGAGAUUGAGCAAUAACA
rnacentral:rRNA from 1 species